AUACGUAGGUGGCGAGCGUUAUCCGGAUUUACUGGGUGUAAAGGGUGAGUAGGCGGGGAAACAAGUCAGAAGUGAAAAUCAUGGGCUCAACCCAUGACCUGCUUUUGAAACUGUUUUUCUUGAGAGUCGGAGAGGUAAAUGGAGUUCCCGGUGUAGCGGUGAAAUGCGUAGAUAUCGGGAGGAACACCAGUGGCGAAGGCGAUUUACUGGACGACAACUGACGCUGAGACACGAAAGCGUGGGGAGC
rnacentral:rRNA from 1 species